rnacentral:rRNA from 1 species
CCCUUAGAUGUUCUGGGCCGCACGCGCGCUACACUGAUGCAUUCAACAAGUUUUACCUUGGCCGAGAGGCCUGGGAAAUCUUUCAAAUAUGUAUCGUGAUAGGGAUAGAUUAUUGCAAUUAUUAAUCUUGAACGAGGAAUUCCUAGUAAAUGCAGAUCAUCAUUCUGCGUUGAUUACGUCCCUGCCCUUUGUACACACCGCCCGUCGCUCCUACCGAUUGAGUGGUCCGGUGAGGCUUUGGGAUCUGAGCAAAGAGAGCGUUUCGCUCGUUUUGCCCGGAAAACUCAGUCGAACCUUAUCAUUUAGAGGAAGGAGAAGUCGUAACA